GAAGGAUAUAAUUGAAUUUCCCAGCAUGUGGUAGCCAAAGUUGUAAUUACUUUCAGGACCUAUGAGCACUGGAGCCUCCAUCUGUGGUGGCUGAUGGUGUUGUGGAGCUGUACCUGCUGUACAUGCUGAGAAGAACAGAAGUAGUUUUUGUGGACUGAGCUUUGUAGAUAUCUGCUAAAAAUUAUUGCUCUUUCUGCUCAUUAUUCCUUCGAGUCCUGCUUUCCUGGAUACCAGCUGUCACAGAGGAAGUCUCCAGCUUUUUCGUCCCCUGCCUCCCUGGCUGGCUGAAGUUGCAGCAGCACGGUCUGGAGCGUCUCCUUCACCACCUGGAUCUCCCUCUGCAGAGACUGUGCAAGCUUUAUUAAGGAAUAAUUCUAUAGGGUGGAUUUUGAAGCUGGA